rnacentral:pre_miRNA from 14 species
UGUUCGGAGUCGUGGGUGGUCCUGAGAUCCCGGACAAACCCCCAAAUGAAAGACCAGUGGGGUGGGGAAGACCUCCCCACUCAAAUCUCGAGAUGAUGCAACCCCCUAAGAACUCACGAGAAAUC